UACGAAGGGGGCUAGCGUUGCUCGGAAUCACGUGGGCGUAAAGGGUGCGUAGGCGGGUCUUUAAGUCAGGGGUGAAAUCCUGGAGCUCAACUCCAGAACUGCCUUUGAUACUGAAGAUCUUGAGUUCGGGAGAGGUGAGUGGAACUGCGAGUGUAGAGGUGAAAUUCGUAGAUAUUCGCAAGAACACCAGUGGCGAAGGCGGCUCACUGGCCCGAUACUGACGCUGAGGCACGAAAGCGUGGGGGAGCAAACAGG
rnacentral:rRNA from 1 species